AAUUAGAAAGAUAAUGUAUAAUGUAAAUAACAGUUUGACAGCGCCUCUCACAAUGAAACCCUAAUUUUGUGCUCUGCACAUUCGUUCCGAUCAAUCACUCCGCUCCGAUCAACAAUAAUCACUGGUAUCUAUCGCUUUGAUCAUUCAAUCGCUCUGAUCAAUCGAAGAACUUAUUGUUGUUUAUUCGAUACAGAACAAUCGAAGAACUCAAACGACGAACUCAAUCGAAGCAGCAACUCCUUUGAAUUCAACAUCUUCUAUCACUCAAUCGAAGUAGAAAAAGGUAUAUAGCGGUGUUGCAGAUUGUUGUGGCAUUACUACAACGCAGCUGGUCCUAGCUCUGCCUUAUUCGUCCCCGAGGCAGAUAGUGCGAUUGUUGGAUCCUAGCCUUCAGUGUGCUAGACUUGUAUACAAUGAAUUACCGAAGGUUUAGAGGUGUGCCGAUUGGUGUUAGUGACAUGGAUCCUUACAAAUUGCAUAAAACUAAAUGGAGAUGCCUAAUGUUUUUCAUUCUUAUUUAAGAUUCAAGAAAAUGCGGGCAAAUCUUCAUCCAACUGCAUUGGAACACCCUGGUUCAAGGAGCAUUGGAAUCUCUGACCGUCGUACGAACAACCGCAUCUCCAUUGUUGCACAUCUCCACCAUCGACAAAUCCAUGGUAAAUGUUUCAGCCUCCCUGGAAACCCUAAAAUCGGAUCAAGCGAAAUCCUGCAACUCAUUUUUUGUUCCAAUCAACUAUUCAUCCCCACCCCUUGUUCCAUUCUCAUCAUUUGAAAAUGAGCAGUUCAGAUAGAAUCGAACUUUCAAUCGAUCCGGGUUCCGCACCCCUUUCUGCUAAAAUUUAAUUCCUUGACAAUGAAAGUUGCUUUCUAAGGUAUUGGAUUCCAUGUCUUUUGAACCGAUUGUUUUAAUUCUUCAUCUUUAUACAUUUUGUGGUUUAUGGGUUUCGAAUUUGAUUUUGUUUUUAUUUUUUCUCUUUGGUCUUGAACUACAACCUAGAAAGACACUUGAUGGAAAGUUCAGGUAUACAUGGGGAGUGAUUACAGGUUAGGUUUAGUAAAACAAUCAACAUCAAGAGUCAAUCGAUACAUUCCUGCGAAUCACGUGUUCGUCUAAAGUUUAUUUAUCCACCAAGUCCGAUCAAAAUCGAGUUGUUAAAGUCCCCGGUUGUAAGCUAACAUACCAGACUACCAAGAAGAGGGCAAGUGGACCAUAAUGCCCUAUUAAUGGGAAGAGGAAUCCAUGGGAUGGUUCCAUCACAGCAAUACCGUACCCAAAUUGAUAAGUCAUUUGCCCAUGUUAAUCUGGAGAUGAGAUCAAUAGGGAUUGGCAAUUUGGGUAUGGGGAUCUAUAGCUACUAGGUCGAGAAGGGAUUGAGAUUCCGGUGAAAACUUCAAAAAUCUAUUAAAAUAUGUCAUUCAAGACCAGGUCAAAAAUUCAAUAGCGACUGCACGACGGGGCAAUGGGAAACUCUUUCGGUGAUGUUAGGGAUCAGAACGAAGAUAUCACACAAGCAUGCUCUCAAACGUUGUCUCAGUUGCAUAACAUAUAUGAUUAUGACAAAAUAUACCCUGUGUUGAGAGGUGGUUGAUGAAGCAAAGAAGACCCAAACACAAUGGGUUGUUUUGGAUACACUUUAUCAUAGCAAAAUAAUGCAUCAACACAUGUUAUUCAUACCCAAACUCAAUGAGUUGUUUGGUCCGUAUUCCGAAGGGGUCGUGUUUUAACCAUAUGUUUUUCUUUUCUCAAGUUUAGACCACAAUAACAUAUGUAUGAGUAUGUUAUUCAUUAGUUAGUUCAUUCUGCAACAACUUGAUCUCUUUAAUUAUGUGUGGUAUAUAUUGUUUAAGAAUCUCAUUUUCAGACUUAUAUGCUUUAAAUUAAGCUGCUGAGACACUUUUUUGCUAAA